GAUGCUUUGGAGAAACAAAAGGAACAAAUUUAUGUUGCUCUAAAUAACCAAAGUAAUGCUGAGAGGAUUUCUUAUUAUACUCGACUAAAUGCCUCAAUUGAUGUUGCUGGAGUAUUACUGAAGCAAGGGUUGGCUUUCCGUGGCCAUGAUGAGUCCGAGGAGUCUCUCAAUAAAGGCAAUUUCAUGGAAUUUCAUGCUUACACAGCAGAGCAGAAUCCAGUUGUAAGAAAAGUUGUGGCCCAUAAUGCUCCAGGUAAUAAUCAGUUGACUUCUUCGAAGAUUCAGAAGGACAUAGCUGAAUGUUUUGCAAAG
rnacentral:rRNA from 1 species